UAAAGGUCAAAAUUUGGAGUC
rnacentral:siRNA from 1 species